rnacentral:rRNA from 1 species
AUUGAACGCUGGCGGCAGGCCUAACACAUGCAAGUCGAGCGAGCGGCGGACGGGUGAGUAAUGUAUGGGGAUCUGCCUGAUGGAGGGGGAUCACUACUGGAAACGGUGGCUAAUACCGCAUACUAUAGGAUGAACCCAUAUGGGAUUAGCUAGUAGUUGGGGUAAAGGCUCACCUAGGCGACGAUCUCUAGCUGGUCUGAGAGGAUGAUCAGCCACACUGGAACUGAGACACGGUCCAGACUCCUACGGGAGGCAGCAGUGGGGAAUAUUGCGCAAUGGGCGCAAGCCUGAUGCAGCCAUGCCGCGUGUAUGAAGAAGGCCUUCGGGUUGUAAAGUACUUUCAGUGGGGAGGCGUUACCUACAGAAGAAGCACCGGCUAACUCCGUGCCAGCAGCCGCGGUAAUUC